AUACGUAGGUGGCAAGCGUUGUCCGGAUUUACUGGGUGUAAAGGGCGUGUAGGCGGAGAUGCAAGUCAGGAGUGAAAUCUAGGGGCUCAACCCCUAAACUGCUUUUGAAACUGUAUCCCUUGAGUACCGGAGAGGCAGGCGGAAUUCCUAGUGUAGCGGUGAAAUGCGUAGAUAUUAGGAGGAACACCAGUGGCGAAGGCGGCCUGCUGGACGACAACUGACGCUGAGGCGCGAAAGCGUGGGGAGCACACAGGAUUAGAUACCCUGGUAGUCCACGCUGUAAACGAUGAAUACUAGGUGUGGGGGGACUGACCCCCUCCGUGCCGCAGUUAACACAAUAAGUAUUCCACCUGGGGAGUACGAUCGCAAGAUUGAAACUCAAAGGAAUUGACGGGG
rnacentral:rRNA from 1 species